rnacentral:lncRNA from 1 species
AGAAGACAUUAUGAACCUGCACGAAGAACAUAGCAGUCAGCCCAAGUUAUGGCAAAAGUCGAUCCCAAGAAAAGUCGAUCCGGACUUCAGGGAAUCGAACUAGCAGUAUGAGGGAAGUCGACCUCAGAAGUCGAUCCCAGGGAAGUCGAUCCCAGGGAAGUUGACCUCAGAUGUCGAUCCCAGGAAAGUCGACCUUCAG